rnacentral:rRNA from 1 species
GACGAACGCUGGCGGCGUGCUUAACACAUGCAAGUCGAGCGAUGAAAGCCUUAUGAACUAUUCGUAGUGAUUGAGGCCGGAUUAGCGGCGGACGGGUGAGUAACGCGUGAGCAACCUGCCUUAAACAACGGGAUAGCCUCGGGAAACCGGGAUUAAUACCGUAUGAGACCCCGCCUUCCCCAGAAGAAGAGGUUAAAGAUUUAUCGGUUUAAGAUGGGCUUGCGUCUGAUUAGCUAGUUGGUGAGAUAAAAGCCCACCAAGGCAACGAUCAGUAACCGGCUUGAGAGAGUGAACGGUCACAUUGGAACUGAGACACGGUCCAAACUCCUACGGGAGGCAGCAGUGGGGAAGAUUGCACAAUGGGGGAAACCCUGAUGCAGCGACGCCGCGUGAGCGAUGAAGGAAUUCGUUUCGUAAAGCUCUGUCCAAGGGGAAGAUAAUGACAGUACCCUUGGAGGAAGCCCCGGCUAAAUACGUGCCAGCCGCCGCAGUAA